GACGAACGAUGGAGGAGGGGGGAACACAUGCAAGUCGAACGGAAAGGCCCUGCUUUUGUGGGGUGCUCGAGUGGCGAACGGGUGAGUAACACGUGAGUAACCUGCCCUUGACUUUGGGAUAACUUCAGGAAACUGGGGCUAAUACCGGAUAGGAGCUCCUGCUGCAUGGUGGGGGUUGGAAAGUUUCGGCGGUUGGGGAUGGACUCGCGGCUUAUCAGCUUGUUGGUGGGGUAGUGGCUUACCAAGGCUUUGACGGGUAGCCGGCCUGAGAGGGUGACCGGCCACAUUGGGACUGAGAUACGGCCCAGACUCCUACGGGAGGCAGCAGUGGGGAAUAUUGCACAAUGGGCGGAAGCCUGAUGCAGCAACGCCGCGUGCGGGAUGACGGCCUUCGGGUUGUAAACCGCUUUCGCCUGUGACGAAGCGUGAGUGACGGUAAUGGGUAAAGAAGCACCGGCUAACUACGUG
rnacentral:rRNA from 1 species